AAAUGGUUUUCAUUGAGUAAAAUAUUAGAUCUUCUUCAAAGUCAAAAUUUUAUCCUAUAAACAUUUUUAUUACAUGAAAAAUAAACCAAUUUAACGAGGAAUGAACACGUAUCGAGUUUGCUCCGAAUUUAUUCGCUAGGAUCAUUGUCAUCACUUUCACUUUUCACGCGAUUUGCUCUAAUAGUGGUUCUAGUGUAUAUCAAAAAGCCGCCAUGGAUGACACCAUGUCGACCCUAACGAAAAUGACCCGCACGGUUAAGAAACUCGAAAUGCCCAGACCCUUGAGAUCAACAACCAGUACACAUAUCCGCAACUCUGUUUUAGACAUAAAAAUAAAUUCUGUUGACGACAUUAUAGUUUUCACUGAGAGGGUGGCUUGUCAAAUGAUGCAGGGAAAUUUUGACCAAGCGCUUCAGAGCAAUGUUUCCACUAUGUACUCCAACCUUAAGGUUUUUGGUGCACAAAGUGAACUACUCUACAAGGACUUUCUUGACAGAUAUUUCGUCAUUUUCCGCAAUGGAUCUCAGGAUGAGCGGCUGGAUAAAAAAACGCGACUUCAUCUGCUUGAGUUAAUAGAGUUGCGUGCUAAAAACUGGCAGGGUUCGGACUUCAUGAGCCAAUACUACAGGCACCGCGGCACACACACUGAGCCAAUUCUGGUGCCGACGAUGGAUGGUUCCGGGACGAGCGCGCUGGGCGGCUCGGUGUCCCCCACGCUGGCUGCGCCGGCCGAGCCGCCCGCGAUGCUGGCCCCGGGCGAACUCAUCAAGACCUCGGGCAAAUUCCCCAAGCCCACCAAGAUCCCCGGCAAGAACUACUCCAAGGAUGAGGUUGUCAUACGGAAUGCUGACUCAGGAAAAGUGAUGGGUAUCAAGGGCAGGCGGGUGCACAUGAUCGAGGAGCUAAGUGACACGAUCAUAUCGUUUCAGCGAGUGAGCCCCGGUGCGAAGGAGCGUCUCGUGCAAAUAACUGGUCCGAACGAGGAAAAUGUAAACCACGCAAAACAUUUAAUCGGAGACACGAUCCGACGCAACGCAUCACCCGUGCGGCUGGAGCCCAUGGAGGGCGCAGCGCUGGGAGCUUCGCGCGCCUCCCUCGACUCCACCGGCUCCGACGAGCGUCCGCGGGAGAAGUCGCCCCACAACAACAGAGCGCUCCUUCACAGUUUCUCGACAAACGACGCAGCGCUGGGAGAGUAUAAAUACACUGUCACUUUUGGGGAACAUUCCAUGAAGAUUACUGGCAAUAAUUUGGAUCUUGUUAAGACGGCAAAACUAGUGUUGGACGAGUACUUCGAGAACUUCGCGUUGGAAGCCGUAGGGCUGGGCUCCGGCGACUUCUUCACGCUGUCGCAGCGGCCCGCCGCCGCGCAGCUGCUGCGCGACGACGCGGCGCUCAACGGCGACGACGACGUGUUCCUCGCCGACGCGCCCAACAGCCCCGACGACCAACAAGCUCGAUGCGCGCAGGAGGCGGGUCGCGGCGCGUGUACUCGCCGGAGACGCUGAUGAAGUUGGCCGACUCGCCGCAGUGCAAGGAGGCGCCCGACCGCCUCGCCGCCUUCCCGCCCGAGCUGGUGCGCAAGAGUUGCCUGGAGUUCGACAGCGCUACCUACCUGAAGCGCGCGCGAGCGGCCGGCGGCGUCACCAUCGCGCAGGACGUGCCCGACU
rnacentral:misc_RNA from 1 species